CUACGGGCGGCUCCAGUGAGGAAUAUUGGUCAAUGGGCGAAAGCCUGAACCAGCCAUGCCGCGUGAAGGAUGACGGCCCUAUGGGUUGUAAACUUCUUUUAUACGGGAAGAAACACCUCUACGUGUAGAGGUUUGACGGUACCGUACGAAUAAGCAUCGGCUAACUCCGUGCCAGCAGCCGCGGUAAUACGGAGGAUGCAAGCGUUAUCCGGAUUUAUUGGGUUUAAAGGGUACGUAGGCGGAAACUUAAGUCAGUAGUGAAAUCCCGCAGCUUAACUGUGGAACUGUUAUUGAUACUGGGUUUCUUGAAUAUUGUUGAGGUAGGCGGAAUAAGUAAUGUAGCGGUGAAAUGCUUAGAUAUUACUUAGAACACCGAUUGCGAAGGCAGCUUACUAAGCAAUUAUUGACGCUGAGGUACGAAAGCGUGGGGAGCGAACAGGAUUAGAUACCCGCGUAGUC
rnacentral:rRNA from 1 species